rnacentral:rRNA from 1 species
CAUCCAGACUCCUACGGGAGGCAGCAGUGGGGAAUAUUGGACAAUGGGGGGAACCCUGAUCCAGCGACGCCGCGUGAGUGAAGAAGUAUUUCGGUAUGUAAAGCUCUAUCAGCAGGGAAGAAAAUGACGGUACCUGACUAAGAAGCCCCGGCUAACUACGUGCCAGCAGCCGCGGUAAUACGUAGGGGGCAAGCGUUAUCCGGAUUUACUGGGUGUAAAGGGAGCGUAGACGGUGCAGCAAGUCUGAUGUGAAAACCCGGGGCCCAACCCCGGGAGUGCAUUGGAAACUGCCAGGCUGGAGUGUCGGAGGGGUAAGCGGAAUUCCUAGUGUAGCGGUGAAAUGCGUAGAUAUUAGGAGGAACACCAGUGGCGAAGGCGGCUUACUGGACGACUACUGACGCUGAGGCUCGAAAGCGUGGGGAGCAAACAGGAUUAGAUACCCUGGUAA